UUGGUGAGGAUGAGACUGUGGACCUCAGCCAGUAGGAAUGGUGGCAUCUGGACCCUGCCAGAGACUUCUGGACCCGUGUGUGAGCACAGCUGGCUUGGAGAUCUAAGUAUCCAAUAACCUUGGAAGCAAAAAGGAAAAUUGCAGUCCAUAUUUCCGGGAUUGAAGAGACAUGCAUCCUGGUGUCCUGCCAGUCAUCCUGGAAUACACCUCUCCUUCUUGUGAAGAAACCUGGAACCUCUGAUUCUCAUGAGCCUGAUUCUUCCAGAGAAACAGCCUGCAGCAUGGUGGAUGAGGAAGUCAGGAGCACAGGUUCUCACUCCAACCCUUCUGUGGUGGUGUUUAGCAGCUAUGAUGUCAUCGGGUUGGCACCCUUCUGAUGGACACAUCGAACCAGACAUUCUGGAAGUCAUCUUGCUUGAUUCUCAUCCUGUGAAAAAACACAGACAUGCCCUCGACCCCAUAUUAACACAGGAUUGGGUCCUCUCCAUAAUCUAGUGCAAGGGUCUCUUUAUUUUGUUUUAGCAAAAGUCUUGGUACCAUCAUUCCAAAAUUUGUCCAUGGCAGAUUGCUCAUGGACAUCCACAUUUAAGAAAUUUAGAGCAAAAAGUACAUGGCUCACGGCAUUAUGUGUCAUUUGAGGAGACAGUUUUCUUGUUUUCACUUUUUGAAGUUGUGUUUUCAAGGAGCUGUGGGCACGCUCCACAAUUCCUUGUCCUUGAGGAUUAUAAGGAAUAUCUGUCUUAUGUUCAAUAUUUCAUUGGGAACAAAAUCGCCGAAAUGUUUUACUAACAUAUCCAAACCCAUUAUCCAUCUUUAUGGUUUUGGGGGUUCUCAUAUAUGAGAAACAUUUUAAGCAAUAUGUUAUUACAUACUUAGUGACUUCUCUAGUUUGUGCAGUGGCUAUCAAGAAUCCUGAAUGUGUAUUGAUUGUCACAUGUACAUAUCUUAAUUUGUCACACUCUGCAAUAUGAGCAACAUUCAUUUGCCAUAAAUGAUUAGAAAGUAGUCCUUGGAGAUUUACUCCCAGACAAGGUACAGGUAAAUACUGUGGGUAUAUAUCACAUUGCUUAACAAUUUGGCAAGCAGCUUUUCUUGUUAAUUUAAAUUGUUUUCUUAAAAUUAUACUAUUUUGAUGAUGCAGAACAUGUGAUCACUGAGCAAACUCAACUUGAGAUAAAGCGAUUAGUUUUGUAAGCUUAUCAACUACAGCAUUACCUUCAGCUAGUGGACUGGGAAGAUAUGAAUGCACUCUAAUAUACCCUAAAAAGCUUGGCAAUUUUCUUCGUUGUAUGGCAUUUUGAAUUUGCUGGAAUAGCAUUUUAACUUGUUUAUUGCUAUUCCUAAUACAUGGAAUGGUUUCUAGGACUUUAAGGGUACUAAAAAUAUAUUGACUGUCAGCACAUAGAUUAAAUGUUUUGCCUUAUCUGUAAAAAACUGAAGCACUAUAGCAACAGCUCACAGUUCAACUCUUUGAGCUGAGGCUGGUUCUGUUUGUACCACAUGUCCUUCACCAUUAACCACAUAUGCAGCUCUUCCACUGGAGAAACCAUCUGUAAAAAUUAACAUGGCAUCCUUUAAGGGAUCUUUGCUGAAACUUUUGGGAAAUAAAAGAAUAUAGUUGUACAAACUGCAGCAAUGAAUCAUCUGGGAAAAUAUUAUUAAUUUGGCCUUCAUAUUGAUCAAACACAAUUGUCCAAGAGUCAUUAUUUUGAAAUAAACAGUCAAUUUGUUGCUUAGUAUAAGGAAUGAUGAUCACAGCAGGUUCUCUGUCAAAGUACGUCUUAGAUUCCACCCCGCUCUUCUGUGCCAAGCAAACUUCAUAAAAGUGUAGUCAUAAAAGCAGACCAUUUUGCCACAAUACUGCUGUGGGAGUAAGCUUUGUAGGUAAUAUACAUGCUUGCCAAGGCUGAUCAUAAUUAAUAUAAUGUACUUGCUGUUUCUGUAUAGCAUGCUCUACCUGCAUGAGUACCUGUCUGGCAGUUUCUGUAAGCUGUCUAGUGGAAUCUGGAUCACUGCUCCCUUUAAGAAUUUCACUUAGUGGCUCAAGGUCUUCUGUAAAACAUUUUA